AGAGUUUGAUCCUGGCUCAGGACGAACGCUGGCGGCGUGCCUAAUACAUGCAAGUAGAACGCUGAAGAGAGGAGCUUGCUCUUCUUGGAUGAGUUGCGAACGGGUGAGUAACGCGUAGGUAACCUGCCUUGUAGCGGGGGAUAACUAUUGGAAACGAUAGCUAAUACCGCAUAACAAUGGAUGACACAUGUCAUUUAUUUGAAAGGGGCAAUUGCUCCACUACAAGAUGGACCUGCGUUGUAUUAGCUAGUAGGUGAGGUAAUGGCUCACCUAGGCGACGAUACAUAGCCGACCUGAGAGGGUGAUCGGCCACACUGGGACUGAGACACGGCCCAGACUCCUACGGGAGGCAGCAGUAGGGAAUCUUCGGCAAUGGGGGCAACCCUGACCGAGCAACGCCGCGUGAGUGAAGAAGGUUUUCGGAUCGUAAAGCUCUGUUGUAAGUCAAGAACGGGUGUGAGAGUGGAAAGUUCACACUGUGACGGUAGCUUACCAGAAAGGGACGGCUAACUACGUGCCAGCAGCCGCGGUAAUACGUAGGUCCCGAGCGUUGUCCGGAUUUAUUGGGCGUAAAGCGAGCGCAGGCGGUUUGAUAAGUCUGAAGUUAAAGGCUGUGGCUCAACCAUAGUUCGCUUUGGAAACUGUCAAACUUGAGUGCAGAAGGGGAGAGUGGAAUUCCAUGUGUAGCGGUGAAAUGCGUAGAUAUAUGGAGGAACACCGGUGGCGAAAGCGGCUCUCUGGUCUGUAACUGACGCUGAGGCUCGAAAGCGUGGGGAGCGAACAGGAUUAGAUACCCUGGUAGUCCACGCCGUAAACGAUGAGUGCUAGGUGUUGGAUCCUUUCCGGGAUUCAGUGCCGCAGCUAACGCAUUAAGCACUCCGCCUGGGGAGUACGACCGCAAGGUUGAAACUCAAAGGAAUUGACGGGGGCCCGCACAAGCGGUGGAGCAUGUGGUUUAAUUCGAAGCAACGCGAAGAACCUUACCAGGUCUUGACAUCCCGAUGCUAUUUCUAGAGAUAGAAAGUUACUUCGGUACAUCGGUGACAGGUGGUGCAUGGUUGUCGUCAGCUCGUGUCGUGAGAUGUUGGGUUAAGUCCCGCAACGAGCGCAACCCCUAUCUUUAGUAGCCAGCGGUUCGGCCGGGCACUCUAGAGAGACUGCCAGGGAUAACCUGGAGGAAGGUGGGGAUGACGUCAAAUCAUCAUGCCCCUUAUGAGCAGGGCUACACACGUGCUACAAUGGCGUAAACAAAGGGAGGCAGAACCGCGAGGUCGAGCAAAUCCCAAAAAUAACGUCUCAGUUCGGAUUGUAGUCUGCAACUCGACUACAUGAAGCUGGAAUCGCUAGUAAUCGCGAAUCAGAAUGUCGCGGUGAAUACGUUCCCGGGUCUUGUACACACCGCCCGUCACACCAUGGGAGUCGGAAAUGCCCGAAGCCAGUGACCCAACCUUUUGGAGGGAGCUGUCGAAGGUGGAGCCGGUAACUGGGGUGAAGUCGUAACAAGGUAGCCGUAUCGGAAGGUGCGGCUG
rnacentral:rRNA from 1 species